rnacentral:lncRNA from 1 species
UGAAAGAAAAUGUUUAUAUUCGAGUAUAUUUAUGACAAUGUGCCCUAAAUUCAAUCAUUCAUUCAUCCAUUCAUUUACUCAUUCACUCAUUUGUUUAUUCAGAAACAGUAUUUGAAAAAAAAAAAAGAACAUUUCUUAUGACAAAUCCAAAUAAUUUUCUAACUUUGGAAAUAAAUGCCAUUUGAAAAAGGACCAAAGAUAACUUACCAAUAUAACACUCACUCUAAAGCCAAGAAGAUGACGAAAUAAGAAUUAGCAUGCAUGGUCAAACUGGA